rnacentral:miRNA from 1 species
AAGUCCCUCUCUUUGUCACCGCUUCCUUCCUUGCGCACACCUAAUUCCAGUAGUAAAGGAUGUGGCAAGACAGGCAGCGGUAGAUAAGGGAGAUUGAGACAA